rnacentral:rRNA from 1 species
AGUGAACGCUGGCGGUAGGCCUAACACAUGCAAGUCGAACGGCAGCACAGUAAGAGCUUGCUCUUACGGGUGGCGAGUGGCGGACGGGUGAGGAAUACAUCGGAAUCUACUUUUUCGUGGGGGAUAACGUAGGGAAACUUACGCUAAUACCGCAUACGACCUACGGGUGAAAGCAGCGGAUCUUCGGACCUUGCGCGAUUGUAUGAGCCGAUGUCGGAUUAGCUAGUUGGCGGGGUAAAGGCCCACCAAGGCGACGACCCGUAGCUGGUCUGAGAGGAUGAUCAGCCACACUGGAACUGAGACACGGUCCAGACUCCUACGGGAGGCAGCAGUGGGGAAUAUUGGACAAUGGGCGCAAGCCUGAUCCAGCCAUACCGCGUGGGUGAAGAAGGCCUUCGGGUUGUAAAGCCCUUUUGUUGGGAAAGAAAAGCAGCAGGUUAAUACCCCGCUGUUCUGACGGUACCCAAAGAAUAAGCACCGGCUAACUUCGUG